UAGUCCCUACGGGACGCAGCAGUGGGGAAUAUUGCACAAUAGGGGAAACCCUGAUGCAGCAACGCCGCGUGCGGGACGACGGCCCUCGGGUUGUAAACCGCUUUCAGUGGGGACGAUGGUGACGGUACCCACAGAAGAAGCUCCGGCUAACUACGUGCCAGCAGCCGCGGUAAUACGUAGGGAGCGAGCGUUAUCCGGAUUCAUUGGGCGUAAAGCGCGCGUAGGCGGCUGCCUAAGCGGAACCUCUAAUCCCGGGGCUCAACCUCGGGCCGGGUUCCGAACUGGGCGGCUCGAGUGCGGUAGAG
rnacentral:rRNA from 1 species